CCUGUCCAGCUGUGAGCAGACAUGAUGUAGGCAGUCGCCACCUGGUGGGCCGAGAGGGUACUGCAGGUCGGCCGCGAGAGGUCAUUUACAACAAAUAAAUAAAAAGAUAAUUUAAUUUAAUAUUGCCAUAAAACAUUUAUGAUUAAAUAUUUACCUUUGAAAAAGCAACCAGAAGUAAUAAAAGAAAGACAAAGGAUUAUAAUCAUGUUUAUUCAUUUAUUUGACCUAUUUUUAAUCCUAUUUUUUAUCUCGUCACUGGCGGGAAAAUAGUUCAAACACAGUUAACGGAGAAUAAACCUCAACAAGUGAAUCAAAAUGAAUCUGUGAAACCAAAAAGCAGCUGUGUGCUCGAGGAUGCAGACAGACAGACAGACAGACAGACAGACAGACAGACUGAGUGCCAACAGACUGAGCCAGACGAAAACAAAUGAUUGAAUGUCCAUUAAACAUUAAAUCACUUUAAUUUAUAAAAUGUCUGAAUUCAUAGAUUACAGCAGAAAUACGUCACUUUAUUUUCAUCAGAAGUCUGUCUGUGUCCAACUCUUCCUCACAGGUUAGUUAAUGACAGACAGUCAGUGAGUGUGUGUGUGUCCAACUCUUCCUCACAGGUUAGUUAAUGACAGACAGUCAGUGAGUGUGUCUGUGUCCAACUCUUCCUCACAGGUUAGUUAAUGACAGACAGUCAGUGAGUGUGUCUGUGUCCAACUCUUCCUCACAGGUUAGUUAAUGACAGACAGUCAGUGAGUGUGUCUGUGUCCAACUCUUCCUCACAGGUUAGUUAAUGACAGACAGUCAGUGAGUGUGUCUGUGUCCAACUCUUCCUCACAGGUUAGUUAAUGACAGACAGUCAGUGAGUGUGUCUGUCGUGGCAAUAGGAUUGUUAGGAAGGUCAUUAAACUCAAAAGUGUCUGAGAGACUGAAGAGUUACGUAAAUAUAUAUAUUUAUAUUCUGUCUGUGUGUGUGUGUGUGUGUGUGUGUGUGUGUGUGUGUGUGUGUGUGUCUGUGUGUGUGUGUGUCUGUGUGUGUGUGUGUGUGUGUGUGUGUCUGUGUGUGUGUGUGUGUGUGUGUGUGUGUGUGUGUGUGUGUGUGUGUGUGUGUGUGUGUGUGUGUGUGUGUGUGUGUGUGUGUGUGUGUGUGUGUGUGUGUGUGUGUGUGUGUGUGUGUGUGUGUGUGUGUGUGUGUGUGUGUGUGUGUGUGUGUGUGUGUGUGUGUGUGUGUGUGUGUGUGUGUGUGUGUGUGUGUGUGUGUGUGUGUGUGUGUGUGUGUGUGUGUGUGUGUGUGUCUGUGUGUGUGUGUGUGUGUGUGUGUGUGUGUGUGUGUGUGUGUGUGUGUGUGUGUGUGUCUGUGUGUGUGUGUGUGUGUGUG